UGGACUUUAGUUUAGUGGUGGACUUUAAGUCUUUGUACCUGAAAGGCCGGGUGUUCGAAUCCCCUCGGUUCAA
rnacentral:tRNA from 11 species